rnacentral:tRNA from 1 species
GCGGAAGUAGUUCAGUGGAAGAACACCACCUUGCCCAGGUGGGGGCCGCGGGUUCAAAUCCCGUCUUCCGCUCCA